UUGAUCUUCUAUCCUCUGCUCACUCCCCAUAUGGUACCAAUGGCCCAUACAGCCUGGUUUCAAGCCAGGAGUCUUUGGGGCUGGCACGGUGGUAUAAUGGGUUAGGCCACCAGUGCAAUGCUGGCAUCUAAUUGGGAGCUGGAUUGACUCUGGGCUGCUUCACUCUUGAUCCAGCUCCCUGCUAAUGGGUCUGGGAAAGCUACGAAAGUUGGCCCCAAAAUUAGGCCGCUUCUCCCAAGUAGCAGACCCGGAGCUCCUGGUUCUGGGCUUUAGCUUGGCGGUGCCUUGGCCAUUGUGACUAUAUGGGAAGUGAACCAGCAGACGGAAGACAUCUCUCUCUCUCUCUGCCUCUGCUUCUCUGGAACUCUACCUUUGAAAUGAAUAAAUCUAUCAAAAGAAAGAAAACUCAAACCUCUCCCUCCCUCUCGCUCUGUAACAUAGCCUUAAAAUUGACAAAAUAAAUCUUUUAGAAAAGCCUAGAAUUCCACCCAGGUGUCCCAUGGAGGUGGCAGGUGCUCAGGUACUGGACCAUCUUCCAAUGGAUGCUCAGGUGUUUUAGCAGGGAGCUGGCUCAGAGUCGGGGUAUGAACAGGCCCUGCAAUUAUGGGAUGCUGGCAUCAUAAGCUGUGACUUAGCCCACUGUGCCAUACACCAGCCCCCAAGAACCAAGGUUUCUUUCUUGUUCCAGAUCUGGUAUCAGUGAAGUAUAGGAGUUUUGCUUGACCUCAGAGACGUGUCACAGCCUUUUGUCAAACUUGGUGCCAUUGGGUGUGGUGAUAAAUAAUCUGCUCGUGUUUUGAACGUGUUUUACUAAACUGAUAGAGGCCCUCGUACCCGGCUAAAGUCUGCUGGGGACCAAGUGCUAAUGGGGUGGACAUGCAGAACCAGUGACAGCCAGAUUAAUCAUCAACAGAGAAAGUGUCUACACAAUGUUGCUUUAGCGGGGCAACCAGACAUGGAACCCCACCCUCACCCGUGGCCAGGAAGGGCAGGGGACACAGGCACAGCCCCUGGGUGGCCACCCCUGGUCACAGUGCCUGAGCUGGAUGAGCUCAUAAUGCAGGUGGCGUCCAUGCCAGGGCUCUGCCGGGCAGGAGGCGCAGGUACAGGAAGAGUUCUCCAUCCGGAGGGCUUCCAGUGGGGGCUGUGAAUGCCAGGAUGGUGGGAGCCCUCUCUCCUGGGAAGAGAGCCUGUGUCUGAGAUGGAGUCCAAGGGACAGAGAGGUGCAUCAGCACGGGGCUGGAUUGGAAGUGGAGUAACUGGGACACGAACCGGCGCCCACACGGGAGUUACCCACUACACCACCAUGCAGGUUCCCGAAGCGGUCUCACUGUACCUUCCCACCCGGAGUCUACCUGGAGCACCUCCUUGCUGGCAGGUCCCCAGGACUUCCUAAGGCACACGGAGUGGCCUCUCUGUGAGCCCAGCUGAUGGGAGCAGCCAGAGGAGGGCUCCUUUGGGCCCGAAGAGAUGUGGAGGGAUUGCUGCCUCCUGGACAGCUUCAGCCAGGCCGGGCCCAGCCCAAGGCUCCAGGCCUCUGCAUCCCUCAGCAGCCUCGUCUGAGUCUUGCAGGUCCCCGUGGUCCUGCUCAGCUGCAGAUCUCCACCCAGGGUCACAAGUAGCCCCCUUCCC